GCUUCGGUGGCGUAGUGGUUAGAGUGUCUGCCUCGGAUGCGGGAGGUUGUGGGUUCGAUCCCAGUCGAAUCA